UACGAAGGGUGCAAGCGUUACUCGGAAUUACUGGGCGUAAAGCGUGCGUAGGUGGUCCGUUAAGUCUGAUGUGAAAGCCCUGGGCUCAACCUGGGAAUUGCAUUGGAUACUGGCGGGCUAGAGUGCGGUAGAGGAUGGCGGAAUUCCCGGUGUAGCAGUGAAAUGCGUAGAGAUCGGGAGGAACAUCCGUGGCGAAGGCGGCCAUCUGGACCAGCACUGACACUGAGGCACGAAAGCGUGGGGAGCAAACAGG
rnacentral:rRNA from 1 species